CAGUCGGGGGCCGAGCAGGCAUUUUGCGCGAGACGGCGGAACUGCCUGGAAAAGGGGGGUGUCCCUCAGCGGUGGAUCUGGGAGGCGGGGAGACGUCUCUGAGUUUUAGGAAGUUUGUCUCCAUCCUAUGGUAGUUGCUGGCCUUUUGAAAGAGAGAUUCCUCCCUCCCCCUUUCUCAGUAGUUUCAGCAAAAAUCCUGGAGCUGAAACUCAUAGCAUUGAUUUGGGUCAUGUGCCCAGCCCUGAACCAAUCAUUGUGACCAGGGGAUGGAAUACUCGAUGCAUCAGGCCUAGUCACAUGUGCACUCCCGGAGCUGAGCCUUUUGAGCCACAUGGACCAAGAAUUUGGAAGGGCUUUUUUUCCUCCAAAGAAAAAUUGGGUAAGUGUUACUACCAGCAUAAGGAAUGAAGGAUGCUAUCCAGGCAAAACUAAUGGAUGUUUGUUGUUCUACAGGCCCCAGUAUAAGAGAUGUCAUAAGGCAAUAGAUAAUUCCACAUGAUUGUAUCAGGAAAUGAGUAUCAGCUCAGAGGCUUUGGAAGGGGUCAAAGCAAACCUCAAGGAGGAGACUGAAAUUCAUUUAUGCUUGAGAAGUGAGCAGGAAUUGACUUGAUAAGGAAAAGGAAUUCUAGAGGGAGGAAGUGAAGAAAUAGACAUGAUGACCUAAUCAACCACCAUCAGUAAUUUCAAAAACCUAGAAUUGUGCCUUCUCCCCAGCACCCCAAGCCGUUUUCCUCCUGCCCAAGGCUUGCAUUCAGAGGCAGCACGGCGUCGUGAUGAAGAACGCAUCUAGAACCGGAAAGCCUGGCUUUGAACCUGGGUUGUCCUUUACUGUCUGGAGUGAGCUUGAAAACCCAACACCAACCGGCUGAAACAUCAAGUACAAAGAUCAAAACAACAAACAAAGGCAACGUAAUGACUUAUGUAACGGCAACAUUCGAUGGAUUAUCUCACAUCAGGAAUGGCUGGAUCCAGGUGUCCAAAUGAUCCAGGUGCUUUGUUUUCUUCUAUAUAUGGUUCCUUCUCAGGCCUUCUUAUCAUCAUAGUUUGAGUUAACCUACCACCACUCCCACCACUAAAAGCAGACUCUGGGGGUGCCUGGGUGGCUCCGUCGGUGAAGCCUCCAACUUCUGCUCAGGUCACGAUCUCAUAGUUGGUGGGUUCAAGCCGGUCAUCGGGCUCUGUGCU